CAGGGUUGCCAAGCCUAAUUCCUUCUGUUGCAUCCGCCUGCAACUGCAGUGGCGAGGCGAGAGUGUGUUCGCGGUUUGCUUCGCAUUGUGAGAGAAGAGAACGAGAGAAGCAGGAGCAGCGAAGGAGCCGGCAGGACAAUGUGGAGGAUGAAAGCAAUAACCAAAUUUGCUUACAAGCAACAAAAAGACGCACCACUGGCACCACUCACGAUGGAUUAAUUGACGAAAGAAGAAAAAUGAAGUUUGUCUGCAUUUGCUUAAAAAAUGUUGGAAACUGAGCACUGCUGGAAAAGUUGGAGAACCGCAUAAAGCGACCCGGAUGACUGGCUGACUCAUCUGACUGACACUUGAACAUCAGGCUGGAUUAUAUUCCUCGUUUGAGCGGUGUGCAUUGUCAUUACCAUAGUCUUAUUCGGAUUCAAUUUCAGGCUGCAAAAUGUAAAGAAAUCUGAAGAGAGGGAACUCUGGACAUCAUAUGUUAAAAAUUUUUACCCUGCAGUAAAAAUUGUGAACUCUCUUCAAGUUUGUGAUUUACACUUUGAGAUGCACAUGAUACAAGAUUCUGGCUCUCGAAAAAUGCUAGUAGAGGGUGCCUUCCCCAGCAUUUUUGUGGCAAACAAAUUUAAUUCAUCAUACGCUGAUGCGAGAAAGAGAAUCUCAAGCGCACUUCCAGAAGUUGCAAGUUAAAUGUUAAAUAUUUAAAAUUGUUCAACAUCAAGUUAAAAUAUUUAAAUUAUCCAUACCCGAUGGCCUCUUACGGUAUUGAAAUUAUUUGGCAACAUCUCAGUGAAAAAGAUUUUGAAGAACUAGAAAAAGUGAAAUCUCGAUAUUUUAAGAUAGUAAUGGGAGUUUCAAAAUACAACAAAAACACCUAUGUGUACAAAUUAGUCGAUGAGAAAUUGUUUGUUACCGAUUUGAAAGAAAAAUACGAUCUCCCGGAGACGGGUAAUUAUGUCAAGUUCCUUGAGAGCUAUAAUUCUGAACAUGAAAAUAGGUUUAAUGUGAAAUUCAAUGACACGCCGGCAAUGAGAAAUGAUGUAUGGAAACAACCCUUGUUUGAUAAAAGACAUGUGUUUUGUCGCUUUGCCAUGCACGGCUUUCAUAAUCAAAUCUGUAGCAAUAGUUCCGAGCGCCAACAGUGUUUCGAGGAAAGUGAUUCAUGCGUGUGUUUGCUAUGCGGUGAGAAAUGCACCCAAUAUCAUCUGGCUGAGUGCAACCACCGAGUGCUUAGCAUUAAUGACUAUUCUAAAAAUAAGUGAAAAACUUUGGAAACCCUGUCGCGCAAACUGAUAAAAUAAAUUGUGAAUCUUAAUUUUAACCUUCUAAGAUGUAAGUUGAAAGUUGUACUCAAUUGAGUUUUCAAUAAAGA